UUAGUUCUUAGUCACUCUGACU
rnacentral:miRNA from 1 species